GUGUUUAUUGUACCUUGUUGCUUCGGUGCGCCCGCCUCACGGCCGCCGGGGGGCUUCUGCCCCCGGGUCCGCGCGCACCGGAGACACCAUUGAACUCUGUCUGAAGAUUGCAGUCUGAGCAUAAACUAAAUAAGUUAAAACUUUCAACAACGGAUCUCUUGGUUCCGGCAUCGAUGAAGAACGCAGCGAAAUGCGAUAACUAAUGUGAAUUGCAGAAUUCAGUGAAUCAUCGAGUCUUUGAACGCACAUUGCGCCCCCUGGUAUUCCGGGGGGCAUGCCUGUCCGAGCGUCAUUGCUGCCCUCAAGCACGGCUUGUGUGUUGGGCUCCGUCCCCCCGGGGACGGGCCCGAAAGGCAGCGGCGGCACCGAGUCCGGUCCUCGAGCGUAUGGGGCUUUGUCACCCGCUCUGUAGGCCCGGCCGGCGCCAGCCGACAACCAAUCAUCCUUUUCAGGUUGACCUCGGAUCAGGUAGGGAUACCCGCUGA
rnacentral:rRNA from 1 species